CACGUAGGGGGCAAGCGUUGUCCGGAUUCAUUGGGCGUAAAGAGCUCGUAGGCGGUUCGAUAAGUCGGGUGUGAAACCUCCAGGCUCAACCUGGAGACGCCACCCGAUACUGUCGUGACUAGAGUCCAGUAGGGGAGCGUGGAAUUCCUGGUGUAGCGGUGAAAUGCGCAGAUAUCAGGAGGAACACCAGCGGCGAAGGCGGCGCUCUGGGCUGGCACUGACGCUCAUGCACGAAAGCGUGGGGAGCAAACAGG
rnacentral:rRNA from 1 species